GCCAGGUGUUGUGGCGGGCGCCUGUAGUCCCAGCUACUUGGGAGGCUGAGGCAGGAGACUCGCUUGAGCCCAGGAGUUGGAGGUUGCUGUGAGCGUGAUGCCAUGGCACUCUACCCAGGGAGAUAGCUUGAGGCUCCGUCUCAAAAAAAAAAAAAAAGAGACAGAGUCUUACUAUGUUGCCCUUGGUAGAGUGCCGUGGAGUCACAGCUCACAGCAAUCUCAGGCUCUUGGGCUUAAGUGAUUCUUUUGCC
rnacentral:sRNA from 1 species